AACGAACGCUGGCGGCAGGCCACAUACAUGCAAGUCUAACGGGUGUAGCAAUACAUCAGUGGCGCACGGGUGAGUAACGCGUGGGAAUAUGCCCUUGACUACGGAACAACCGCGGGAAACUGAGGCUAAUACCGUAUAAUGUCUCCGGACCAAAGAUUUAUCGGUCAAGGAUUAGCCCGCGUCUGAUUAGGUAGUUGGUGAGGUAACGGCUCACCAAGCCUACGAUCAGUAGCUGGUCUGAGAGGAUGAUCAGCCACACUGGGACUGAGACACGGCCCAGACUCCUACGGGAGGCAGCAGUAAGGAAUAUUGGACAAUGGGGGAAACCCUGAUCCAGCCAUGCCGCGUGAGUGAAGAAGGCCUUCGGGUUGUAAAGCUCUUUUACCCCUGACGAUAAUGACGGUAAGGGGAGAAAAAGCCACGGCUAACUUCGUGCCAGCAGCCGCAGUAA
rnacentral:rRNA from 1 species